UUUCUAUCCUGAGUGCUUCAAAAUAUAAUCAAUCUCCAUAGAACCAAGGAACAGAUUCUGAAGGUCUGAGGUCAUAAUCCUUAUACAGGAGAGUCUCAGAAUAGGCAGAGCAUACUGAUGUACUGAGCCAACAAAGUCAGCAGGGAGAACAGUCUUCAAGUUGACCCUGGGGUCCUCUGUAAAUGAAGUCAGGGGAAUACAGGAUCCUCCUUGAGUUAGCUACCUCCAGUCUUCUCCUGGAUCAGGGAGCACAGGACAUAUUAACUCAAAGAGGCCAAAGCAGAAAUCCACCUGGGGAACAAACCAUCACUGAUCUCUGUCAUCAGAUCUAAGGUAGAUGCACAUAUCCCUCAUUUUUCACUUCAGUGGAAGACUGAAGAUUAUUGUUCUUAUGUAAAGAAAGGAAUUGGUGUCUUUACAAGUAUUUAAAGAAAUCCUGUCUUCUACAAAAAGGCAAUUUAUUCUCUCCUCACCUGUAUUACAUUCUUGCAAAAUGGGAAGAAGGGGAGUGCCAGGAGGUCUCUGACCAAAGAAGAAGUAUAACAACAAACUACCCACCAGGAUCUAAAAGCAUAAAUUUCUCCAUAUGCUAUCCCUUGGAGUCCCCUAAUGAGACAACAGUGAUGUCAUCUGGGAACUUUCAACAAAGAACAGAGAGAAAAUAGUUAAGAGCAGCUACAUUAGCACAAGAAAAAAAGUCAUCAGUAGUGCUAACUUGCCAUCCUAUGAGUGGUUGAGGUCCCAAUGAAGAGCUCCUUCAACAACCUAGGGAAAACUCCAGUCUCUUGAGGUUUUACUUUGAGAAGGGCUAUAGCAGAAUGUAACACCCCCCCCCAAGUGGCACACCUAAUUAUCUGGUGUCCAACAGCCAAUGGCACGUGCCAGCAAAUAGAGGUUAUAUUAUGAUGCUACUAAAACCAGUAACCAAAGGGAUAAUGGCACUAGUAAGUACAGCUGCAACAUUUCACCCAAACUUUUGUUUGCUUUUAAAUAUUCCUGACUCUCCUUGGGCAGAAUUUGAGGCCUGCUCUCCCAUCUCAUUGGCUGCCUUGAACAAAUACUUCUCUUGCUGCCCACUCCAGUGAUUGUCAGCCUAGCGUGCAGCAGAGCCAUAGCUAGUUUCAGUUACACUACCUAUGGGCCCAUGGGAUUGAACAGGCCAGAAGAACAUCCUUUUAUUGUUCAGAACAGACCUUAAGCACAUCAAUCUCCUGAUGCCCACUGACAAGAAGAUCAAGACCAGCAUUGUUAAGUCUAACAGGUCUCCUCACAAUGAACUCCCCCAAUUAAGAUGAUCGAGGCUUUUUGGGGAGAACCACUUUACAACUCCUGACUCUUUCCAUCUUUAAGUGAUGUACAAUCUGUUGUGUGCCCCUUACAGCUGGGUUUUCCCUGUAACAACUAACAGACCUUUUUAUCAGGUACUGAACAUCAGUCACCGGGGUGUGAGCAUCUUAAGGACCCCACCCCCCAGGGCUGUGUGUUAGGGACAUGAGGGCAAUGGGAACAAGCUUCUGUUCCCACAUCUUCAUGAAGGACCCAAAGCUUUUCACAACCACCUCAGCUUUGGACAGACACUGAAACUGGAGUUCUCAUCUUGACAGACUUCAGGAAGAAACAUGGAUGUGGUUACAACCUUCUAGUUAAUUUUGACUUUAAGACUUUCUUCUAGCUAUACAAGAAAGGACUAACUUGACAUCCUGAAUAUGACACAACAUCAAGGUAACCAGUCACUAGCAGGACCAAGGAACAAGAGAUAAGUGAUGACCAAGAUGAAAUAGAGUGAAAGUAGUCGAAUGUGCUCCCACCAUCCUUAAAUAAAUAAUGAGUGUCCAUCAAAGACUAUAUGCAAAAGAAAGCUGAAGCACCUUACUUUGAGCCAACAUGUACUCCAUUCGUUGGAGCUAGGACACGCCAAACUUCAUAGCAACAGCCUAUCAUUGAAGAUGCAGAACCAGCUCUGUUCUCUAAGGAAGAAUGAAAAGUUUGGAAUAUACACAAGGAAGCAAUUAUAAGCUCUGAAGUCGGUUUCCAUAGGAACAAGACAAUGUGAAUUUUCCCCUUGGCAAAACUAUCAAGGCUGAAUUGAUCUGGCCCCCUCCUUCGGGAUGGUCAUGACAGAGAACCCCAGACUCAAAAUGAGUCUAUCCCUGAGGACCAAAUAGACCCUCAGUCCACUGGGUGAGUUCUCACCCACUUUUCUACCAGAAUAAGAUAUAGGAGUCCUCAGAGCCCACAGCCUGCCCAGUGAGGUCCUGGCUUCACAGAUGCUCGCUGAUCAGCAGAGCUGCCAGGACAAACCAAACCCUUUACGCUGACAACACCAAGAUUUUGGAACAGGGGAAAGCCCUAGAACUGUUCAUUUCCUUAUUAUAGCAUCCCUCAGGACUUCUGGACCAAGCUUCAUAGGAAAAUAUUUCCAGGAAUAAUCCAGAAAUGAACUAGAGCCCAGAAGGCAUGACCAGCAGCAAUCUUUCCUGUGAAGAACAGGCCUCCCAUCAGUUUGGGGUAAAAGGGCAGCUAAGAUGUACAAGAGGUCUUGUAUUUCACAGUGGAUGGUGAGGUCCCUACUUCGCAGGAGCAGUGGAUCAACAUGCUCUGACAAACAGCUUUGAGUCUUUCUCUAACCUCAAAGAAAUCUCAGAGCACAAACGUGAAAGUCCUGGAAUGCAAGACCAGCAGCUGUCAGCACAACACAGAAAGUAGUGCUAGCUCACAUUUUACCCCAUCGGCCUGGCAGGCCCAGGGUUCCAACACCAAGAUGCUAAGGAUUGACUCAGAAUGCUACUCUUUGGAGCACUGGGCCUUCCUACCUAGAGAAGACACUGGUGUUGACCACCAUCACCACUGUCCCCAGACUCCUGGAAGUUUCAGUGGCUCUAAAGGAAUCAGAGAUAAAGCAGGAGCUUCUACUCUGUGCUUCCUACAUUCAAGCCUUCACCCCCUCUGGGUGAAUUUCCAAGAUGCAGCACCUACCUGUGACCUGAGAAACUGUUAGAGCAGAUUCACAUCUGUCACUUCAAGAAACAAUCUGCUACUCACAAGGUGAGCUGUGAUGAGGGCAUGAUCUGCUCAUUAGUCUAAGGAAUCACCUAAGGAUUGAGGUCAUGGACCAGACUUGCUUAAAAAUGGCAAGGCAGUUCUUUGUCUAAUCAUAGAAGGAUGAUGGUUUCAGGUCUCUCCAUGUACAUCCACUUCCCCAGUCCUGAUGGAAUAGAAAUUCAUAGGAUGGGUGGGGAGAGGAGGACAGUGCAGGAAGCCUGUGAUGAGUAGACUUCAGCAGACUCUGAAACCAGGCUGCCGAGAAGUUUACCAGAUCCGGGCUAAGAAAUUACCCUGCAUGUGUGCACCAACUUGAAAAUGCUCGAACGAAAUUCAAAGAAGCACUUCACGGCAGAGCUGCUCACUAGGAGAUGGGCAGUGACUAUGUCAGGAUCCCACAGCAUGCUCCAUCAGCUAUAUGGCUCCAAGGAUUUACCCACCCCUUAAGAGAUUCCAACCUGUGUUGUCAUGGGUUAAUGAACAAAGGUGUUUUUAAGACCCAUAGGACUGGUGUAACAUUUCAAUAUAGCAUAGUUUUGGAGCCAAAGUAUCUUAACUCUGAAGGUAGAAUUGCCUGCUCAUUUUAAGAGACUACUGAUCAUUACAGCCUCCACAGAACCAUCUAGAAAUUAUUCACAUCAGAAACAGGAAGAGGUCUCAGGGAAGAAUAUUUUUUGAUGGGGCAGAUUUAAACCCUUCACCUUGAGUUGCCUGCUAUUCUAGCAGGUGAAGCAAAACUCAGGAACCUUCUUUGACAGCCUCUGGUCUUCAUGCAAUUCUUCCCUGGGUGGUUUUAUGUUCUGGUUCUCACAGGGCUAUUGAGGGUGCAAGAGUGCUCUCACUGGUGCUGACCAUCUGCUGCUUACCUAUUAUUUUUCUGCACAGAGCCCGUACUGCAGGCUAAUAGAGGUAGGACCUGAAAUCUACCUACAGCUCAAUAUCCUCCCUACAAGCUAUGUGGAAACCCAAGCAUUUCCCUAUUCACUGUAUGCAAGAAGAGGUCAUUGGGCUUAGGGUAAAAUGCAGUGAAAGAGGCUCAAUCAAAGCUCUGUACUUUGGCAAAGCUCAGUUUUGUAUAAACUGCUUAUACAUUG